rnacentral:rRNA from 1 species
UAAUACAGAGGGUGCGAGCGUUAAUCGGAAUUACUGGGCGUAAAGCGCACGUAGUCGGCUUUGCAAGUCGGUUGUGAAAUCCCCGGGCUCAACCUGGGAACUGCAUCCGAGACUGCAUUGCUAGAGUAUGGGAGAGGAAAGCGGAAUUUCUGGUGUAGCAGUGAAAUGCGUAGAUAUCAGAAGGAACAUCAGUGGCGAAGGCGGCUUUCUGGACCAAUACUGACGAUCAGGUGCGAAAGCGUGGGGAGCAAACAGGAUUAGAUACCCUGGUAGUCCACGCCCUAAACGAUGACAACUGG